rnacentral:hammerhead_ribozyme from 1 species
AUCCAGCUGAUGAAUCCUUAAUAGAACGAAACGCAUGUCUUGGAU